rnacentral:rRNA from 1 species
GACGAACGCUGGCGGCGUGCCUAAUACAUGCAAGUAGAACGCACAGUUUAUACCGUAGCUUGCUCCACCAUAGACUGUGAGUUGCGAACGGGUGAGUAACGCGUAGGUAACCUGCCUGGUAGCGGGGGAUAACUAUUGGAAACGAUAGCUAAUACCUCAUAAUAUUAAUUAUUGCAUGAUAAUUAAUUGAAAGGUGCAAUUGCACCACUACCAGAUGGACCUGCGUUGUAUUAGCUAGUAGGUGAGGUAACGGCUCACCUAGGCGACGAUACAUAGCCGACCUGAGAGGGUGAUCGGCCACACUGGGACUGAGACACGGCCCAGACUCCUACGGGAGGCAGCAGUAGGGAAUCUUCGGCAAUGGACGAAAGUCUGACCGAGCAACGCCGCGUGAGUGAAGAAGGUUUUCGGAUCGUAAAGCUCUGUUGUAAGGGAAGAACGGGUGUGAGAGUGGAAAGUUCACACUGUGACGGUAUCUGACCAGAAAGGGACGGCUAACUACGUG